CGGGGGGGCAAGCGUUGUUCGGAUUUACUGGGCGUAAAGGGCGCGUAGGCGGCCACUGCAAGUCGGUUGUGAAAUCUCCGGGCUUAACCCGGAAAGGUCAACCGAUACUGCAGGGCUAGAGUGCAGAAGGGGCAACUGGAAUUCUCGGUGUAGCGGUGAAAUGCGUAGAUAUCGAGAGGAACACCUGCGGCGAAGGCGGGUUGCUGGGCUGACACUGACGCUGAUGCGCGAAAGCUAGGGGGAGCGAACGGGAUUAGAUACCCCGGUAGUCCUAGCCUUAAACGAUGAAUGCUUGGUGUCUGGGGUUUUAUAGUCCCCGGGUGCCGUCGCUAACGCUUUAAGCAUUCCGCCUGGGGAGUACGGUCGCAAGACUG
rnacentral:rRNA from 1 species